GAUGAACGCUGGCGGCGUGCCUAAUACAUGCAAGUCGAGCGAACGGACGAGAAGCUUGCUUCUCUGAUGUUAGCGGCGGACGGGUGAGUAACACGUGGAUAACCUACCUAUAAGACUGGGAUAACUUCGGGAAACCGUAGCUAAUACCGGAUAAUAUUUUGAACCGCAUGGUUCAAAAGUGAAAGACGGUCUUGCUGUCACUUAUAGAUGGAUCCGCGCUGCAUUAGCUAGUUGGUAAGGUAACGGCUUACCAAGGCAACGAUGCAUAGCCGACCUGAGAGGGUGAUCGGCCACACUGGAACUGAGACACGGUCCAGACUCCUACGGGAGGCAGCAGUAGGGAAUCUUCCGCAAUGGGCGAAAGCCUGACGGAGCAACGCCGCGUGAGUGAUGAAGGUCGUCGGAUCGUAAAACUCUGUUAUUAGGGAAGAACAUAUGUGUAAGUAACUGUGCACAUCGUGACGGUACCUAAUCAGAAAGCCACGGCUAACUACG
rnacentral:rRNA from 1 species